rnacentral:snRNA from 1 species
GGACAUGAGGGCAAUCUGGCUGUGACAUCUGUCACCCCAUUGAUUGCCAGGGUUGAUUCAACUAAUCUGGCUGGUUAGGCAGGUGUCCCCUUUUCCCUCAAUGAUCUGUGUGCAUCCCGCCUGAAGCUGUGCGCUUAGUCAAAGAGGAGGACCACCCCCAACAGAGGAGGACAGUUCCUCAGUCAAGAGUAUACGAGUACCUGUGCUCCCCUGCUAGAACCUCAAACAAGCUCUCAAGAUACCAUACAUUAAAAUCCUCAGUAAAAUACUAGCAAGCAGAAUGCAGCAAAUCAUCAAGCAGAUUAUAUACCAUGACCAAGUGGGAUUCA